GGAAUUGUGCCUGAAGCAGAGGACCACUUUGAUAGAGUGCGGCAUGAGGGUUCAAGCCCCUCCAAUUCCU
rnacentral:tRNA from 1 species